rnacentral:lncRNA from 1 species
GGGGAAAUUGGAAAGCUAUUAAGAAGAAUUGAGCUCAAUUGUUGAAAAAGAAAAAUGCAUGUGAAAAAGAAAAAAAUAAGAAAAAAACAUGAAGAUGAGCUCAAUGAAAAGAAAAAGGGAAAAAGUUGGGAAUGAGAGAGUUUGGUGAGAAAUAGAGUUGUGCUUAAAUGUUAAAUAUUAUGAUAGAUCUCUUAACUCAAGGAUUUUGUUUUCCAGAAAAACCAAUUUUUCUUGUUAGCCCAACCUCAUUACAAGCCUUGGAAAAGUCCUUUUGAUGGCAUUUGCAUGUAAAGAUGUUGAUUGUUUGAGAUG